AGAAGGAGGCAACUUCAGGUUCAGGGAAUGAUGGAUCAGCUGUCAAGCCGGCAUCUAAAUCUCAAACAAGUACGACUUCAUCAGAUGAUGUUGCGAGUUUAACACAUGCAACAAAGCAAGUUUCCCUGGGAGAUGGUGGAGCUAAACAGACUGCUCCUCCCAGUGAUCGAAAAGGCGAUGGAGCUGGAAGAUCUGAUUCUCUCCCAGAAGUUCCAAACUCAGAAAGUGAAUUCAAG
rnacentral:misc_RNA from 1 species